rnacentral:rRNA from 1 species
UUGGAGGGCAAGUCUGGUGCCAGCAGCCGCGGUAAUUCCAGCUCCAAUAGCGUAUAUUAAAGUUGUUGUGGUUAAAAAGCUCGUAGUUGAACCUUGGGCCUGGCUGGCCGGUCCGCCUCACCGCGUGUACUGGUCCGGCCGGGCCUUUCCCUCUGUGGAACCCCAUGCCCUUCACUGGGUGUGGCGGGGAAACAGGACUUUUACUGUGAAAAAAUUAGAGUGCUCCAGGCAGGCCUAUGCUCGAAUACAUUAGCAUGGAAUAAUAGAAUAGGACGUGUGGUUCUAUUUUGUUGGUUUCUAGGACCGCCGUAAUGAUUAAUAGGGACAGUCGGGGGCAUCAGUAUUCAAUUGUCAGAGGUGAAAUUCUUGGAUUUAUUGAAGACUAACUACUGCGAAAGCAUUUGCCAAGGAUGUUUUCAUUAAUCAAGAACGAAAGUUAGGGGAUCGAAGACGAUCAGAUACCGUCGUAGUCUUAACCAUAAACUAUGCCGACUAGGGAUCGGAUGAUGUUAAUUUUUUAAUGACUCAUUCGGCGCCUUACGGGAAAC